rnacentral:rRNA from 1 species
UGGGACCUACGGGGGGCAGCAGUGGGGAAUAUUGCACAAUGGGGGAAACCCUGAUGCAGCAACGCCGCGUGAGUGAAGAAGUAUUUCGGUAUGUAAAGCUCUAUCAGCAGGGAAGAAGAUGACGGUACCUGAGUAAGAAGCCCCGGCUAACUACGUGCCAGCAGCCGCGGUAAUACGUAGGGGGCAAGCGUUAUCCGGAUUUACUGGGUGUAAAGGGAGCGUAGACGGGGAGACAAGUCUGAAGUGAAAGCCCGGGGCUCAACCCCGGGACUGCGUUGGAA